ACUCCUACGGGAGGCAGCAGUGGGGAAUUUUGGACAAUGGGGGAAACCCUGAUCCAGCCAUCCCGCGUGUGCGAUGAAGGCCUUCGGGUUGUAAAGCACUUUUGGCAGGAAAGAAACGUCGUGGGUUAAUACCCCGCGAAACUGACGGUACCCGCAGAAUAAGCACCGGCUAACUACGUGCCAGCAGCCGCGGUAAUACGUAGGGUGCAAGCGUUAAUCGGAAUUACUGGGCGUAAAGCGUGCGCAGGCGGUUCGGAAAGAAAGAUGUGAAAUCCCAGAGCUUAACUUUGGAACUGCAUUUUUAACUACCGAGCUAGAGUGUGUCAGAGGGAGGUGGAAUUCCGCGUGUAGCAGUGAAAUGCGUAGAUAUGCGGAGGAACACCGAUGGCGAAGCCAGCCUCCUGGGAUAACACUGACGCUCAUGCACGAAAGCGUGGGGAGCAAACAGGAUUAGAUACCCUGGUAGUCCACGCCCUAAACGAUGUCAACUAGCUGUUGGGCCUUCGGGCCUUGGUAGCGCAGCUAACGCGUGAAGUUGACCGCCUGGGGAGUACGGUCGCAAGAUUAAAACUCAAAGGAAUUGACGG
rnacentral:rRNA from 1 species